AUGGUCAGUGUCACCGAGCUCUGCCCGUUGUCCCUGGAGAUCGUGACCCGGCCCUUGAGUGACGGCGCGUACCAGCCCCCCGGGGGGUCCCUGCGCCUCCUCUGCCGAGGGGCCGGGUUCGAUUUUGGGAGAUUUGGGAUGGGCUGGAUCCGCCAGAGACCCGGGCAGGGGCUGGAGUGGCUCGCAGGGAUCUACAUCCUUGGCAGCACCGACUACGCGCCGUCGGUGCAGGGCCGGGUCAGGAUCUCCAGGGACAGCGGGCAGAGCUCGGUGAUGCUGACCAUGACCGACCUGCGGGACGAGGAUUCCGGAUCCUAUUUCUACCCCAGACCCUUCCCCCACACCCCCAGCCCACCCCCAGCCCGUGACCAUUGA